ensembl:lncRNA
UCCCAGCCUCCAGGCCACCUGUCACGCUCCAGCCACCAGAUCCAGAUCCUGCUGCUCCUCUCAGCUUCGCUCCCCGGACACCCCAGCACACAUGCCCCACCGUCCUGGCUCUCACCCACUCCAGCCCCAGCAGGUCGCUGUAAAGACCCUGCGGGCCAAGCAGCCCACUGAAGAUGGCACAGGCUCUGGACGGCACUGCUCCAGAGACAGCAGACACGGCCCUGACCUGGUAAGAAGACGCCGCACAGCUGGGUGACAGAGCCAGGGGGAGAUGACGCCACUCCCAGAGCCCCGGGCACCCACUGAGAAGGUGAUGGCGCAUCUGCCCUGGGGAUCCACACGCAGGUCCCGCAGGUGGAGCACAGGCCGCCAGGCACCCAGGAGGAAGCCAGUCCACGUGGUGAUCUGGCCUCAGACGCUCAUGGGAACGGUGGUCACAAGAGCCCCAAAGUGGGGACGCCAAAGGCCCACCAGCAGGUGGUCUGUGCACACGGCCGGUGUCCCUCAGCCACAGCGAGGCCCAGGGCUGCCACGAGCUACCACACGAGCAGCCUCCGGACCUCUGCCAGCAGAGGAGUCCAGGCACCAGACUCUAAGAGACGCCCAGAAGAAGCCAGUCCAGAGAAAGGAAGUGGUGUGCAGGGAGCGAGGGCUCGGCACUGGGCGGCCUCUCCGUGGGGAGGGAAGAUCUCCGUGGGCUGGGCUCACACGGUGGACCAAGCCGAAAGCCUCCUGAGGGCAGACGGCUCUGUGGGAACAGCUGCCCUGCCCGCCCCGGGGCCAGGCCGCUGCCCUCCACCUCCUCUCGUCCUGCUCCUCUGCAGAUGCAGUCUCGGUUCCCCGCAUUCUGCCCCUGCGCACCGCGGGUCCCCAGCCUGGGUCGUCACUGCCAGGUCCGAGCAGCCUCCCUAGCUCUUUCUGGCACCGCACGCCUGGCGCCACCGGUGCCUGACGCCUGUCGCCCCUCCUCACCAGCACCGGAGCUCCCCACGGAGUCCUGCACCCAAGCCAUCACCCCAGCUACCUGUCCUGGGGUGACCCUGAGCUGGGUCAGCAGAGCCUGUCCUGGGCGUCCCCUGCACUCUGCUCAAAGUGGCUCCAAGAGGCUCUGGGCUCUGUCGGCCCUUCUCACCUCCCCUCUCCUCAAGGUCGCUCCUCACUGGACGGGGCAGCGGCCAGUGUCACCCCAGCCCAGCAGGCCAGCUUAGAGGGACAGCAGUGCGGUGAGGUCUCGGCUCCAGCCACAGCCCCUACUCCACAAGAGGCUUUGCCAACUUCACCCUGCUGUGGGGCUGCCCACCCCACAGUGCCCACAGGAGUCAGGUCCCUGAGGGGAGGGACCCUGCCGGCCGCUGUCCCCACACCCACAGAGCUGAUGGCUCCCGUUCUCAAACACUGCGGGGACCUGGGAUCUGCUGAAACCAAACAAAACCCCUCCCGGAGCGGCCCUGUGGACUCUGGAUGUUACGCUGCAUCGAACGGGAUGUUGAUACAGAGGCCACCACAGGUGGGACCAUGGGAACGCUCUGUACCUUUCCCUCUGUUCUGCUGGGAGCCUGAAACUGCUUGUAAAAGUCUGAGCUGUUCCAGGAAGGGGCAGUGGAACCUUGAGACCCUCCUCUCCCACCCAGCUGGGCCACCUGUCUGCAGUCUCCAAGGACUGGGUUUAUCCAGGAACUUUGACCUUGUUCUCUGGUUUAUGGGACUGAAAAGGAAACAGCCUGGGAAAGGGGAAGUGACACAUCCAAGGUCACAGAACUGGAAGAGACUCUGCCUGGCUCCAGAGCCCUUUCUAGUAAUGUUGAUUCUGAAAGAAAAGAACCAAGAGCCUUCCAUUGAGAUUACUGCUUUUAUUAUCACCCCGUCCUGCCCAGGUAGGAACACAGUGAGCUUCCUCGUGUCCAAGGCCACAGGAGUGGGGGACUCACCCUCAGCCCUUGCCUGCCACUAACUGGCAGUCACAAGGACCAGCUCCGAGCCGACCCUUCCCACUCCACAGCCCCGCUCAGGUAGAGACAUAAAGGCGCCCAAGGAGGAAUCCGAUGUCACUGUUCCCUGGGCCAAGGCAGGAAGAUCACAAGGCCUGCAAGACGGCAGGCAGUGUCAAUGCAUUUAGCCCAAGCGGCUUAGGGCUUCAGGGCGAGCUAUGGGGGGGGGGGGGGUGUCAAGGCCGUAAAGCCCACCCUCAGCUGAGGCCAGGUCUCAAGUUGAUCCUCAAUUCGCACCCUGGGGCCUGAAACUUGGGAGUCUACACAGAAAGGAACCCAUGGAGUCGCCCGUUCCUAGACCCCUGACCAGCUCCCUCGGUCUGGUCUCUGCCUCCCACGCCACCCCAGGUCAUCGGUCAUCUCAGGGCCCCUGAUGCUCAGCACCGGCCUGGCCCUGAGCAGGGCCUUCUCUACAUUCGCUUCUCGUCCUGUGUCUGCAGCCUGAGCCCGAAGGUCCCGGCCUUCACCUCCGGGAACGGAGGUCCUUCCUGCCCUGGCAGCCGGCUCGCUCCGGGCCGGGGUGGGAGCGGGGUCCGCGUUCCGCUGGGAAGAGCCCUCCGCGCCGGCCACGCGGCGCUGACCUUGGCCGCCCGUGGGCCCGGGCGCUGGACGGGACCUGCCACCGAAACCCGCGUCGCUAACUGAGGAUCAAAGGCCGGCGCCCCCACCCGGGGCAGCAACGGGCCCGGGCACCCGAAAAGGGGAAGGAAGGGACCCGAAGGCCUGGAGCCGAGGCUGCGCCCGGACGCCGUUUCCGCGGCCCUUCCUGCAAGGGGCUUCAACUUCCCCGGAGUCGGAGUCGCCAGCACUUCCGGCCUCGGGCGGCGGUGAGCGCAGAUCCGUACCGACCAGGCCCCCUGCCCGGCCCGCCGCGCACGCGCAGAAUCCGGGACCGCGACGCCCGCCGCGCGCCCGCUCACGACCCCCCC